rnacentral:rRNA from 1 species
UGCGUAGGCGGGUCUUUAAGUCAGGGUGAAAUCCUGGAGCUCAACUCCAGAACUGCCUUUGAUACUGAAGAUCUUGAGUUCGGGAGAGGUGAGUGGAACUGCGAGUGUAGAGGUGAAAUUCGUAGAUAUUCGCAAGAACACCAGUGGCGAAGGCGGCUCACUGGCCCGAUACUGACGCUGAGGCACGAAAGCGUGGGAGCAAACA